UGGACGGCCCGAGGCGAGGCCAUCUGCUGCGGAGAGAGCGCAGUCCCUUUGUCAGCCAUUGUGGAAUGUGGAGGCAGAUUGAUGAGGGCUGGGUGAUUCCUUUAGGGCCUUAGCAAGGCAGCAGGCAGCUCAGAGAGCACCCCGGGGAACGCCCUCUCCUUCUGUCUCCACAGGCAGCGGUGCCGCCGGACGCUACACCAACGAAGAAGACUAUGUGUGAGUGUAUGUCUGAUGCUGCCUUCAGAAAGUUCAGUAUGAACCUUAAUGUCCACUUCAUAGUGUUUGUUCAUAGUGAUUAAAAAAGGGAGCCGUGCCUCCCAUGUGGCCUGGUCGUGCUCUGGCGAUGACCUUUGACCCCCCCAGCAGGUGUGUGCGGCUGGCCUUUAAUGCGAGGAGGCCGUCCAGAAGGUCUGAGGGUUUAGCGUGGAGGAGACAGGGCAGAUGUUGUGUGUGAAGUCCCCCGGGGAAAGUGUGCCACCCCCAAAGACAGGGGUCAGAGCAAGAGGGUGGAUCUGUGACGCUGGUUUCCAUGGCAGCCGGCCGCGUCAUGAAACAGGACUGUAUAGGCUUCGGGUUCACAGACAAACAAGCCUUUAUUCGUCCUCGGAGAGCUUAUAGGAUGCAGAAUGUGCUUCAGAUUCACACCACGGCUCAUCUGUUCAGACCAUCAGGUCUGAAGCUGAAACUGUUGGCAGUCUCCAAACAAGCCGGAGCACGGGUCCCCUCCUCCAGGUCAGACCCCCUGCUGAGCCCACAGAAGGCCUCUGUUUGGACAGUGGCCAUUACCCUCGCCGGUUUGACUCUGGGGGCUAACAUUGGUGCCACUAAACACACAAAUAAGUACGGCUGCAAGCCGUGCGCCAAGACACUGGGUAAAUAUGUCGACAAACUGGAGGAAUGUGCAGCGAGGCAGACACAGUCAGGAUCAAUCACAGCGCUCAUCACAGCUUUUCACCUUGGGUUCGUUAUGAUUGCCCGACGUUUUGAGGGACCAGACCUCAGCCCUCGUGGAUGGACCCAUGUGGGUCGAGUGGCCCUGCUGGUCAUCUGCUCAUCCACGGUCCUUGUAUUCAUGUGGAGGCCCUCCCACCCUCCUGCGGUGUCUGGGAAAGCCCCAAGUACAAAAGAGGACAAACUGUGGUUCAAGCUAAGUCACUGCUGUUUAGGCAAACACUGGAGCAGAGCUGGGAUUUCUGUUAUUACAACAAAAACAAAAUGACAACAGUAAUUUGGAGAAAUAUUUGUUUUCCAAAAGCAAAGCCACAGAUUUAAGGAAGCUAAUCAUUAAAUGACACGCCUCAGCUCACAUUCACCACUUUCUCCCAUUCAGGUCCUCGCCAUAUGGCCAACAUUCAGUGCAGCAGUGGGAAAGAGACAUCCAAAGCUUCAUUAUGUUAAUAGUGAUGCUUCUGCCGUGGCAUUUAGCAGACAGAAGGCCCGGCUGAGUGAGUGAACAGGGGUGGGGGCGGGCCUUGACACUGAUUCCCAUAAAGAAAAGCUGUCAUGUUUGCAAAUUGAAAUAAGGACAUAUGCAAAUGACUCAGCUGACGCAGGCAGACAAUGAAAACACGAUAAUCCAGGCUUGUUGUGUUUGAUUGGGAUGAUCUGGAUUUUAGGCAUAUCGUUCAGGCUACAACUGCAGACGUCACUGUCUGUUUUGGGAUUCAAGGAGUUGUCUGUUAACAAAAGCUGUGCUUCUUUGCCCUCUACUGGACAAACGUGCACACUGGAUCUGGUUACAGUAAUAAAACCCGGUUUAACGGAUUCCA
ensembl:lncRNA